GGAGAGGUGGCCGAGUGGUUUAAGGCGCUCCCCUGCUAAGGGAGUAUAGUUUUACUCUAUCGAGGGUUCAAAUCCCUCUCUCUCCG
rnacentral:tRNA from 1 species